GCUGGCUGCUGUCCCCGUGCUGCUUGUCCUUGUCUGCCAGCCGGCAGGAGAUGCACCCGGGUGGCAGUGCCAGGCGUCUGAGAUGCACCCGGGGCUGCCUCCGCCGCGCCUCUUCCAUCAGAUGUGCGGUGCGGGGCGACGGAGGUGCGGGGGCAGCCAGGGGGGUCGGCUCAGGCAGCUCAGGGAUGCUGGCUGCGGCCAGAGGCGGGUUUGCCAGGAGCCUGACUCAGGAUUGGUCGCUCUUUGCUGAGCUCCCUGCUGGCCCCCCGGGGAGUCAGGGUGCUCUGUGCUGUUCUCGUUCUCUCUGGUCCCCUCUCUUUUGACUGCAGGCAGGCCCUGGUUGUGCUGGGGGACCUCCAGAGCACUCGUCGCUUCUGAAAAGCAAGAGCAUCCCCAGAGCAGGAUGAUGGCAGCCUUCCACACGCUGCUGGGUGCAGACAGCACCCGUCAAUCACCUCUGUAGCCACAAACUCACCAAGAAUGCACGUGAGGAAACUGUCCAUUUUCCUCGUCGUCCUCUCGUCUGUUGCUCCUGGGUGUCUCUUCUGGAAAAGGAAGGAAGAAAAUCCCAUUUGUGUGGGGCAGUGCCAGCUUUCCCACUCAGCCACUCGGUGCAGACAGCCCCCCAGCAGCUCUGCUGCCCCCAAACUCACCCUGGCUGAUCCACGUCAGCAGCUGGUCAAAGUCGUUACUGUCGUCCAGGAUGGCCGUCUGGGAUGUGACUUCUGGGGAAGGAAGAAAAUCCAUUGCCCAGUGGGGCAAUGCUGGCAGCUCUCCCACAGCUGGGAGCACUGGGUGCCACCAAGCCUGGCCAGCUCUGCUGCCAACAAACUCACCGUGGUCGAUCCAUGCCAGCAGAUGAUCCAUGUCUGCGGUGUCCUGCGGGGUGCCUGCGGCUUGUGUCCGUGCUUGGAAAAAGCCAGAAGAUCCCCAGUGGGGCAAUGCCGGCAGCUUUCCCACAGGCAGCCGGGUGCUGUGCAGCCCCUGAACUCACGGCCUGAUGUCGGCCUGAUUGUGGCAGCGCUGCAGAGAGCUAACAGCUUACAGAAACUGAACAACAGGAAGUCUUGGAAAGGGGAUUCUACAGGAGUGUUAAAGUCUUGCUUGCCCCAAGGCAGCCUGUGCAUUCCAGGAGCCAGGGAGAGAGGACAGGUAGGAAGAUAG
rnacentral:lncRNA from 1 species